CCUGCCCAUUCAGGUCAAGCGGAUUCUCUCUUCAGGCGCUCCUCGCCAAGACGCACCAGGCUUCCGGCAGGAGGGGAUUAAAAGAGGGGAAGGAGUUCCCAUUAAACACAGCAAUUACUAAAAUCCUUUGAGGCAGCACCCAGGAGGGAGUAUGCAAAACAUUUAACGGAACUUCUGGUACCAAACCGCUAUUAUCCUGUCGAGUUCCAGACGCGGGGGAGGAACACACGGAGGAAGCACCGCAUUAGAGGGCCACAGGCUCCUGCCUUCCACCGGUCCCGAGGGCGCCUUCAUCCUAACCUGGCCCCGCCCACCAGACGGCAAGAGCAGGGAUGAAGCAGCCACCGCAGCUUGGUGCCCACCAGUGAGGGGAAGAGCACUUCCUGUGUCGCAAGGGGCCUCACGUGCAUGAAGACAACAAACCCUGGUAGGUACUGUUGCUCCCCCAUUUUAUGGAUGAGGAAACUGGGACGUUAGAGAAAAGCUGUCCGAAACAGAGACAGACAAUUCACAGAGGAAAGAAUCCAAACUGCCCGCCAAGCUUAGGAAAAGUUGCUCGGAUUCACAAGCCACCAAGGAAAAGCAAACUGCACUGGCCUUGAGACACCCUUCUUCACCAGUUACGUUAGCAAACGGUUCAGAGGGCAGCAGCUUCCAGUGGUGGCAAGAAUGUGGGAAGUCAGGCGGUCACAGACCUUGCGAAACGGCGUGAUUGCUGCAGCCUCUACGGGAAUUAACCUCACAGUAAAUAGCUAUGAAAUGUUUAAAUGCGUGUCCUUUGAACAAGUAUUUGCACUUUGGGGCAUCUGUCCUACACGAGCCAGUUCAGUGGUGCGUGAAAGGUGUGUAUCAGGGCGUCUGCGGUAGCAUGGUUGGAAACAGGGACAAAGAAGGAUUCCUACAGCAUUGUAGUGGAGAAAAAAUGGAAGCAAUCCAAGGAUGUCAAAGGAUUGUUUGUAUUAAUACUGUGGGAAAGUGGAAACAAACUUAAUAUCCAUCAAUAGAGAGGAGCUGAAUACAUUUCAUACAUCCACAUUACAGACUAUCAUGCAACAGGUGAAGGAUUUCUUUGAUGUGG
ensembl:lncRNA